GACAGAGGUGCCGAGCGUUAGGCGGAAUCACUGGGCUUAAAGCGUGUGUAGGCGGAUUCCUAAGUACCUUGUGAAAUCCCACGGCUUAACCGUGGAACUGCUUGGUAUACUGGGUGUCUUGAGCCAACUAGGGGCGACCGGAACAAACGGUGGAGCGGUGAAAUGCGUAGAUAUCGUUUGGAACGCCAAUGGUGAAAACAGCUAGCUGGGGGAUGUGCCGACGCUGAGACACGAAAGCCAGGGGAGCGAACGGG
rnacentral:rRNA from 1 species